rnacentral:rRNA from 1 species
UCGGGAAUUUUGUGCAAUGGACGAAAGUCUGAUGGAGCGACGCCGCGUGCAGGAUGAAGGCCUUAGGGUCGUAAACUGCGGUAGUACAGCAGCAAUGCAAAUGAGCGCUGUACGGAAAGAGGUGGGUAACUACGUGCCAGCACCAGCGGUAAUACGUAGGGUGCAAGCGUUAAUCGGAAUUACUGGGCGUAAAGCGUGCGCAGGCGGUUGUGUAAGUCAGAUGUGAAAUCCCCGGGCUCAACCUGGGAAUUGCAUUUGAGACUGCACGGCUAGAGUGUGUCAGAGGGGGGUAGAAUUCCACGUGUAGCAGUGAAAUGCGUAGAUAUGUGGAGGAAUACCGAUGGCGAAGGCAGCCCCCUGGGAUAACACUGACGCUCAUGCACGAAAGCGUGGGGAGCAAACAGGAUUAGAUACCCCCGUAGUCCCUGAGCGGGCUGGCAAGGCGCAU